rnacentral:rRNA from 1 species
GCGAUCAUACCAGCACUAAUGCACCGGAUCCCAUCAGAACUCCGAAGUUAAGCGUGCUUGGGCGAGCCGAUGGGAAGUCCUCGUGUUGCACCU